UUCUUUCUCUCCUUCUUUCACUUUAAUAUUCUCUCCAUCGAUUGCUUUUGUUGCAUCAAUCACUGUAGCACUACUAGAAAUGAUGAUUUAUGUUUUGUAAUCGGCAUAAAGCAGCAGCAGCAGCAACUAGCUAGCUAGCGAGAUUGUUAUUCACAAAGACAUGGCUUGCGUGGGAGCAAGAUAAAGCAUCCAGUGGAUCCCCAGCAAAGGAAAUCGUGGCUCGAAAAGAACGGUGAGUGACCGGAAAAUGAAUAAAAACAACAACAUCGAUCAUGGCCACAACACAAGUCAGAACAAACCACCGCUGGACCACUUCUUGCAGUACAUGAGGCAAUGCCAGUGCUUGCAGACUGAGGAGCACGGAAUCAAAGUUUCGUUGUUGCAAUUUCCUCCUGAACAGGUUUUCUUUCAAUCUUGCAGAAGAUGCUCUUCUCAGCGUGACACCACCCUGAUUUCGGCAGUCAUCUGAUGGAGGAAUGGAAUUCUUCAGUACAUGUGAUGUACCUCUCUCAUAUAGAUGCAGUACGGUCCAACAUUAAUUUUGAUGUAGGGUUUCUUUUUCUCACUGUCUAGUUUUCAUAUCUUGACAGGCCAGGGAAAUUUUGAAGGGUGGUAGGCUGGUAGCUUUGGAAACUGAUCGAACAGUGAUGCAACAGGAUAAGAAAGAGUUACACUUUGUUCACAACGUAAUUUCCAACAUCAAUACUAGAAUCAACUUCUUUUGCACA